GAGCAACUUGCAGAGCAGCAAGCAGAGUAGGCAAGUGUUGAGGUUUGGCGUGAGUAGCAGCAAAAGCCCAGAGCAUCAAGAAGCAGGAAGUGAGGAGAAGGAAUGGAGGAAUCUGUCCAGAGCUGUGCCCCUGCUUGCCACAGGAGCUGCGCGGGAGGAGAAGAACGUGGGCCAAAAGGUAAGAGGAGCUCCUUUGGGUUCUGGGCUUGAAGCAAAGCUGAGAAGCCAUGCCCGGGAGGAGGUGUGGGUAGCUACAGGCCACCUUGCUAUCUCCCCAAGAGAUGAGGUGUGUGGGCUAGGCACCGGGCAGGAGUGCUGGCCAGAAGCAAGCAUCUCUGUGGAGGAAGGCAAAGGGCGGAGGAGGUUCAAGGGUAGCUACCGGGCAUGGCCUUGCUCAGCAAGGGGAGGAAAAGCCUGAAGGGCACGAGAAGGGGAUAGAGAAGGGCAGGCAGUAGGCGUGAAGCUGCGAGCAGAGUAGAGAGCAACUUGGCAGAGCAGCAAGCAGAGUAGGCAAGUGUUGAGGUUUGGCGUGAGUAGCAGCAAAAGCCCAGAGCAUCAAGAAGCAGGAAGUGAGGAGAAGGUAAGUGAAGGGCAGGCAAGGUAAUGGGAGGCAAAGGCAAGGGGAAAGGGGGGGUAAGGGAGAAAGAAGGGAUGGGGAUGGGGAGGGGAUGGGUGAAGAGCAGAGCGGAGGGAAGGGCUGAGGGGAGGGCUGAAGGCAAACCUAUGAUGAAAAAAGAAAAGAAAAAAAAAACAAAAAAUAUGAAAAAAGAGAAAAAAAGAAAAGAAAAAUAAGAAAAAGAGAAAAAAUGAAAAGAAAAAAGAAAAAAAUGAACAAAAAGAGUAAAAAAGAAAAAAAUGAAAAAAGAGAAAAGAGAAAAAAAAAGAAAAAAUGAACAAAAAGAGAAAAGAGAAAAAAUGAAAAAAAAGAGAAAAAGAGAAAAGAAAAGAAAUGAAAAAAAAGAGAAAAAAGAGAAAAGAUAAAAAAGAAAAAGAUAAAGAAAAAAAGAAAAAGAAAAUAGAAAUAAAAGAGGAAGAAAAAUAUGAAAAAAAGAAAAAGAAAAAAGAAAAGAAAAAACAGUAGAUGAAAAAGAAAAAACAAAAGGAAAAACGAAUAAUGACAAGAGAAGAAAGGUAAAGAGAAAAGAAGAAAAAAGCCAAGUCAAAAAGUAAAGAAUAACUCGAAGGAAGGAGUGGAUGGCAAGAAAUACAGAGAAAGCAGUGCAUAGCACAGCAGAGCAAAGCAAGGCAAAAUAGCAGCCAAAGCCACGAGAAUCAAGAAGUCAGUGAAGAGCAGGAAAGGUAAGUUUCCCUUAAAGCAAGGGGGAAUGGUAGUGGAAGGGAGAAAAGAGAGGGGAGGGGAGGGGAAGUGAAGGAGUGGGGGGAGAGGGGGAGGAGCAGUGGGGAAAGCGGUGGGGCUAGAGGGGGGUGAGGGGGCAAGAGGGGGAGGGAGGAGGG
rnacentral:lncRNA from 7 species